rnacentral:rRNA from 1 species
GUGGGGAAUAUUGGACAAUGGGCGAAAGCCUGAUCCAGCCAUGCCGCGUGUGUGAAGAAGGUCUUCGGAUUGUAAAGCACUUUAAGUUGGGAGGAAGGGCAGUAAGUUAAUACCUUGCUGUUUUGACGUUACCGACAGAAUAAGCACCGGCUAACUUCGUGCCAGCAGCCGCGGUAAUACGAAGGGUGCAAGCGUUAAUCGGAAUUACUGGGCGUAAAGCGCGCGUAGGUGGUUUUGUAAGUUGGAGGUGAAAUCCCCGGGCUCAACCUGGGAACUGCCUCCAAAACUGCAUGACUAGAGUACGGUAGAGGGUAGUGUAAUUUCCUGUGUAGCGGUGAAAUGCGUAGAUAUAGGAAGGAACACCAGUGGCGAAGGCGACUACCUGGACUGAUACUGACACUGAGGUGCGAAAGCGUGGGGAGCAAACAGGAUUAGAAACCCCGGUAGUCC